GCAUAUCAAUAAGCGGAGGAAAAGAAACCAACAGGGAUUGCCUCAGUAACGGCGAGUGAAGCGGCAAAAGCUCAAAUUUGAAACCCUCGGGAUUGUAAUUUGAAGAUUUGGCAUUGGAGAAAGCUAACCCAAGUUACUUGGAAUAGUACGUCAUAGAGGGUGACAACCCCGUCUGGCUAACCGUUCUCCAUGUAUUGCCUUAUCAAAGAGUCGAGUUGUUUGGGAAUGCAGCUCAAAGUGGGUGGUAAACUCCAUCUAAAGCUAAAUACUGGUGAGAGACCGAUAGCGAACAAGUACUGUGAAGGAAAGGUGAAAAGAACUUUGAAAAGAGAGUGAAAUAGUAUGUGAAAUUGUUGAUAGGGAAGGAAAUGAGUGGAGAGUGGUUUAGGUUUCAGCCUUCUUUCGAGGGGGUGCACUACCAACGCCGAGUCAUUGAUAGCGAGACAGGGGUUAUAAACGGACGGCACUUGUGCUAUUCUCCUAACCCCUCUACUGCCACCAACGACAUAAUCCACCCAUUUCACCCGUCUUGA
rnacentral:rRNA from 1 species